rnacentral:rRNA from 1 species
UACGUAGGGCGCAAGCGUUGUCCGGAAUUAUUGGGCGUAAAGAGCUCGUAGGUGGCUUGUCGCGUCUGUCGUGAAAGCCCGGGGCUUAACUCCGGGUCUGCGGUGGAUACGGGCAGGCUAGAGGCAGGUAGGGGAGAAUGGAAUUCCCGGUGUAGCGGUGAAAUGCGCAGAUAUCGGGAGGAACACCUAUGGCGAAGGCAGCUCGCUGGGACGUUACUGACGCUGAGACGCGAAAGCGUGGGGAGCAAACAGG